AAUUCACAUAUAACAGAAAAGAAAAUUACAUAAAAACUCUUUCCUAACAAUCAUCUUCUUCACCUACCUCAAUAAGGCCGCAAUCCUGGUUCUUCCCUAAUUUCUUCCUCAAUUUAAACUAGGCCUUGAAGCAGCAGCACCACCACCAAUUAUGCAUUACGUUAUCGAGGCAGCAGGGUUUCUUUGUAGAGAGAAAAAGGAUCCGCUCUUCACCAUCACCUGAGAAAUUGUGAUUGGAAUUGGUUCCCAAAGUUGUUCACAGCCUGAAAUCGGCUACAUUUGGGACGUUGUAGGAGUUUGACAUCUAUCGGGCUUGUUUAGAGUAGUUCAUUGUUGUUGUCCAAGGAAGAACAACCUCCGUGUUGUUGCCGAAGAAUAGAGUUCAUAGCCAGUGCCCAAAAGUGCGGCCGUUGUCUGGAGUCGCCUCUGCUGGUCGAAUCUCCAAUCGUCAAUGGCUCAAUUUCUUCUCAAAUUAAUUUGGGAAUUUGCAUAUUCGUUUCAACACCACAAUCAGGAAGAACUUUGCUUUGCUUUAAUUUUAUUUUAUAAUCUGUCUGUUUUUGUUUUGUUUUCUCUUUUCCAGACUUAGUUUGUCUUAGUUUUGAUAUACCUAAUUUUAAUUUUGGUUUAAUUAAUUUUGGGUUUUAUUUUGAA